AACGACAACUUUGACUGUGUUGAUUAUUAGGUUCGGAAUAGCAAUUUCCCCCUUUUCCUGAUAACCCUAAUUAGGAUUUGUGUCUUCAUCAAUCAUCAGAUUGAUUCAAGGGUUUUUCUUCAAAAUCUUGUUGCGCGACUGCUACGAUGAGCUUCUCCUUCUCCAUCAACGCGAAAGGGAAACCCCAAUCCAAUCGACUGAAAAAGCCAUCCGAUGCCGCGGCCGAUUCUCCAUCCAUCAACUACGUCAGCGAAUUCCGCUCCGACGAAGCUCCGGCGGCGGCGGAUUCCAAGAUCAAGCCGAUUACUCCAAUCCCAAACGCGUGGCGCCCCAAUAAAAAACUCAAGAACCUCCCCAAUCUCCCGCCGAUUUCCCAAUCGAACGGUGAGGAUGCGGCUGUUCAAUUCGAAUUGGAUCCCGGCUCUAAUCCCGAACCCACCGAUACUUCAACGGGCUAUGGCCUCAAUCUUCGGCAACCGUCGGGCGCUGCGAUCGAUGCUCCUAAUGGUAAUUAUGAAACGAUUUCGGAUAUGGAGUUGAGGAGAUUGAGGGAGGAUUUGGGGAACCUUCCGGAUGGUCCAGGGUUGGACGAAUUCGAAGAUGUACCAGUGGAUGGCUUUGGUGCAGCAUUGCUCUCUGGGUACGGUUGGAAAGAGGGUAGAGGGAUUGGCCGCAAUGCGAAAGAGGACGUGAAAAUUGCUGAGGUUACAAGGAAAAGAGAUAGAGGGGGGUUAGGUUUCAUUGAUGAAAAUCCGGAGCCAGAGAAACAGAUCAACACAAAUGGUAAUGCUGGUGCGAAUCAUGUGAAUGGCAAUGGCAGGCCGGAGAAGAUGAAGGGCCUGAAAGAGAAGGAUACCAAAGGGUUUGUUAAAGAUAAAGAGGUUGUGAUAGUAAACGGGAGAGAGAUGGGGAUGAAAGGUAAAAUUUUGGAGGUGAGAAAUGGCGGAGAUCUAUUGGUUGUGAGGAUGUCGAAGAGCAAUGAUAAGGUGAAAGUUCGGAGUAGGGACGUAGUGGAGGUGGGUUCGGCGGGGGAGGAGAAGUGUAUGAGAAAAUUGAAGGAAUUGAGUGUUAAAGAGAGUGAUAUGUAUAGCGAUAAAAAUGACAGAAAUCUUGAGAGGAAGAAUGGGCAAGAAAAGUUGAAGGCAAGGAGUGAGAGAAUAAAUUGGUUGAGGACUCAUAUAAGGGUAAGGAUUGUUAGUCGGGAGUUGAAGGGUGGGAGGUUAUUCUUGAAGAAAGGGGUUGUGAUGGAUGUCGUGGGGCCGGGGGUUUGUGACAUAUCGGUUGAUGAGAGCAGGGAGUUAGUGCAAGGGGUGGAUCAGGAUUUACUAGAGACUGCUCUUCCAAAGCGUGGAGGCCCUGUUCUUGUUUUGUGCGGUAGGCACAAGGGUGUGUAUGGUACUCUGCUGGAACGGGAUUCAGAAAAAGAGACUGGUCUGGUUAGGGAUGCCGAUACUCAUGAGCUGCUUAAUGUGAAGCUUGAGCAGGUUGCAGAGUACACAGGAGAUCCAAGCGAUAUUGGUUAUUAAGCACAGACUUCGUUAAUGUUAGCCUUGCUGGUCUAAGUGAAAUGCCUAGGUGAAGAUGUGAAGCCCAAUCCUAAAGGACAACUAGGUUGCCAUACCCAUAGUGGAUGGAGGGAACGGGUUCUUCCACCUUCUGGAGACCCGGGGGCAUGCACCACUCAUUUCCAUCACUGAAGGGACUUCAGGCUUCAGUCACAGGCCUGUCACCUGAAGUAAUGGUAUGGGAUCUUGCCAUAUAAGAAGUGUGAGUAUAUUAAGGCACUUUCAGGCUUUCCCAUCCUCUUUGUGGUUUUAAUGCAUGGAGCCUCCACCUCUAGAGAACAUGCUACUAUAUCUUGGCUACCAUCUGGAGUCCUCAUCAGGUUCCUGAAUUUCCAACCUUGUUCCAUUACGACAUCCUAUCCACCUAAACCUCAGUAAGCCUACCCUCUUAUAUAACCCUGACUAGCCAGACAAGCACUUGUUAAUACAUAUAACUUUUUCUCCUUGUUAUAUUGGUAUGUAAAAAUUUGAAUGAAGGAAAACCAUUACCAGUUGACAAUUAUCAUUCUGAAUGUCAUCUUGUACUUGCUAAAGUUGUUUAUUGGUUUAUGCAAAUUUUCUAUUACCUCAAAUAAGUCAGUGAUUAAUUGUGCAGUUACUUUAGAAGUUACUAUGUCAGAAACAGAACUACAUGGGACACAAUCAUACCUGUGGUGGCCAAGGAACUCGUAGCCAAAGAUAAUGAGCUUGCGUCUAUGUUGUGAAAAAGGUGGGAGGACCUUGUGUUAGAAGAACCAAUUCGGGGAUGUUUGUUCCGGUCAUGGUUUUAAAGGUGGAAUCUCUACCAUUGGUUAUGGAUAUUGGAAUGUACCUAUUGAUGAUAGCACAUGUUGCUAUUGUGAGUUGGUUUUGUGGCGAAUGCCAAAGCUGUGACACUGGAUACUCCAUUGCAGAUGAAGCCUUGACAUCGACAAUAUCAAUCUGCGUUGAGUCGAUUUGAGUGGCAAGGCUCAUAUGGCACCUCGUUCAUGUAGUAUGACCACAUGUGGAGUUGUGUGGUGGAUCAUGGUAAUAGACUUCCAUGUUCCAAGUAAUUUGCAGAGAUGUCGAUGUUCAUGUAUUCUCUCCCUUGUACACAUAAUAGUCUUUUAGGAAAUUACUCAGCUCUUUACCACAGUUAGAACAAGAUGAAUUUGAUUGGGAACCAGUCAUAACAAUCUGUUAUUAUCUCUCAAUUUAGAUAAUUAAUUUAUGCAGCUUUUGCA